rnacentral:rRNA from 3 species
UGACCAUAGCAAGUCGGUCCCACCCCUUCCCAUCCCGAACAGGACCGUGAAACGACUUUGCGCCGAUGAUAGUGCUGCAACCAGUGUGAAAGUAGGUUAUCGUCAGGC